CAGCUGUUCCCGUGUUCAUGUAAAAGGGCUGAAAGAGAAGGAGUCAGGGGCUCUGAUUCCAAUUCUGCCGUUGACAUCUCAGUGCAACUUCAUGCAGUGAGCGUGGAGGUGAUGACUGUAGAGAUGAUGGUGGAGGUAAUGGCGGGAAUGAUGAUGGAGGUGAUGGUGUAGGGAUGGCAGAAGUGGUGGCAGAGGUGGCGACAGCGAUGAUGGAGGUGAUGGUGAAGGCAUGGUGGAGGGAAUGAUUGUGGAAAUGAUGGUGGAGAUAAUGGCAGGAGUGAUGAUGGAGGUGAUUGUGGAGGGAUGGUGGAGGUGACGAUUGUGGAGAUGAUGGUGGAGGUAAUGGUGGGAGCAGGGAUGGAGCUGAUGGUGGAGGUAAUGGUGGGAGCAGGGAUGGAGCUGAUGGUGGAGGGAUGACAGAAGUGGUGGCAGAGGUGGCGGGAGUGAUUGUGGAGGUGAUCAUUUUGGAGGUGAUGGUAGGAAAUGAUGGAGGUGAUGAAGGGAUGGCAAAAGUGGUGGCAGAGGUGGUGGCAGUGAUCAUGGAGGUGACGGUGGGAGUGGUGGGAGAUGAUAGAGUUGAUGGUAGUGAUUGUGGAGGUAAUGGUGGAGGUGAUGGGGAUGAUGGUGAGGCUAAUGAGGGUAAUGGCAGAGAUGAUAGUGGAGGUGAUGGUGAAGAUAAUGGAAGGUGGUAGUGAAGAUGAUGGCAAGGGUGAUGGUGGAG
rnacentral:lncRNA from 1 species